GACAGAGGGUGCAAGCGUUGUUCGGAAUUAUUGGGCGUAAAGCGCGUGUAGGCGGCUUUGCAAGUCGGGUGUGAAAGCCCUCAGCUUAACUGAGGAAGUGCGCCCGAAACUGCUUGGCUUGAGUACCGGAGAGGAUGGCGGAAUUCCCCAAGUAGAGGUGAAAUUCGUAGAUAUGGGGAGGAACACCGGUGGCGAAGGCGGCCAUCUGGACGGAUACUGACGCUGAGACGCGAAAGCGUGGGUAGCAAACAGG
rnacentral:rRNA from 1 species